rnacentral:tRNA from 1 species
UAUAUAUUGGUGUAAAGUGCACAAAGACUUUUGGUGUCUUAAGAAAUGGUGUAAUUCUAUUAUGUAUAA